ensembl:lncRNA
CGAAGCUGCAAGCACAUAUCCUCAGAGUCUCUGCAGGUCCAGUGGGGACCGCCCUCUCACUUGCCGAUCAGGGGCCUCUGGUGUGGACCAUAAUGAAAAUAGGCAACUAGCGGUGGCUGCUCUAGAGCAUCUCCCAAGCCAGGCUCGGUUAGAGGGCACGAAUGCAGGAGGAGUUUCCUUUCGAGGUCUCAGUUUAUCAUCCACCAGAGCUCUCACACAGGAGAGAAACCCUUUCAGUGUCCCUUCCUGCAGUCCUCCGUCCUUUGGGUCCACCAGCACACCCACACGGCUCAUCCCCUCUCCAGAGCUAUGUCUACCACCUAACAAGAACAUAGGUUUAUAGUAUGUUUAAAGAGCCUCUUUCUUCUUCCAUUACUCAGUUUAUCCAUUUCAUUAAGUAUUUAACUUGGUAAUACUUCUUAAUCAAAAGCUGCUACACUAGCUGCCAAGGCUGAAGAAUACUAAAAGCUUGCCUGGAUUCAUAGCAAAAUGGCUACGAAGUAGUUGUCUCAUUUCAACAGGAAAUGGAGACAUUUUUGUGCUUGCUUUACAGAGAGACGAUAACAAACCAGUAAAUGGCCCCAAAGCAGAGUCCACGGCAUACAUCCAAUGUGGUUAUGGGGAAGAAGGGCAGAGAUUGGAUUGGAUCACACAUCCCCAUGAAAAUGUAGGGAAGAAUACAAAAAGCAAGACAGGAAUGGAGGUGGGGCAGUGAUGCCAACUAAGAGAGCCCAGUUAUCAAGUAAAAUCAAGGGAGACCUUGAUCAAAUUUAACCCAGGUUGAACAUUCCCACCCCUCUGAGGAGGACAACGAGGAAACCAAUCCUUCCCCGAUGUUUGCACAGACCUUAACAAACGUCAUGAAAAAUGUUCACUGUUUACCUGUACACACAAACUUUCUGAUCGACAUAAAGUUGGUGCGUCUGGCCUGCGGCACCCUCAGUUCAUCUGGCUCAGUCCGAGUCCUGUGGGAUUCCCAGAUCCCAGGAUGGAGACCCCAGUCCCCUGUGGGCACCUGAGAUUGCUGUGGUGCUUAGGAGACUCUGCAGAGAGUGGCGUAUCAGAACAUGCCAUCGGGCAUGCGUGGAUAGAGCUAGAGCCUGAGUUUGUAGCUCAGUUCUGCAGGACUGGAGACACACCUUCUGAGUGGUGUGAACCCUACAUUCCUGCGCUGCUGUCGCAGAUGCCUAGCAGGAAUGCUCGAGAAAGCAAGAGAAGGAGCCGAGCCCAAUGCGAUUUCCUACAGAUGUAGAAUACAAGUGUGUUCAUCAACUCCUGAGGAUUGCAGACAAAAUUGCGGCAAAACUUCUGUAUUUAUUUCCAAGCUCCUCAGUUUAGUAACCUGAGUUCUUCAAAAGCUUCUUCAAGAAGGGACUCCUAGAAAGGAAGUUCUCCCACGUGGUGAAAAUGUCUGUUUUAGGAGUUGGGAGAUGGCUUCAGUUUGAAACACAUUCGUUUCUCUGCGGGGAUGAGGCAAAAGGUGAAAGAACUGGUCUGGACAACUGUCAGUCAAAUGAAGGAAAACAAUCAAAGGCCUCACAGAUGAGUUUGAAGAACUGGAAUUCUUAAGUACAAUCCCCAUAGGCCUCACCUCCAUUGCGAACUUACCCAAGUUAAACAUACACAAGCAGCUCGACCUAAGCCAUAACAGAAUCUCAGGGAACCUUGAAGUAUGGCAGAAAAAAAGUCCCAACCUUAAGCAUCUAAAUUUAAGUGGCCACAAAAUAAAAGACCUCAGCACAAUAGAGCCACUGAAGUUAGAGAAUCUCAAGUGCCUAGACGUGUUUAACUGAUGUGACCCACCGGAAUGACUACCGAGAAAAUGUGUUCAAGCUCCUGCCCCAGGUCACAAUCCUAGAUGGCCACGACAGGGACAACAAGGAGGCCCCCGACUCCGAUGUGAAGGCUAUGUGGAGGAUGAUGAUCAGGAAAUGAGGAUGAGGAAGAAUGCGAGGAAUAGGCCCAGCUAGUGGAAGAUGAAGAGGAUGCAAACAGUAUACACAGAAACACAGUCAGCAGAUAGACUUGGCACAACAGAAACCACCUUCAGGGAUACUAACCAAACCUAGUAGGCCGCCAGCAAAGCCAAAGAACAAGACACGGAAAAGAAGCAAAAAACGACCCCUAAAACAGACAAGCUGCAAAAGGAACCUCUAGUCUUAGCUCUCAGGAAAAUGGUAAUCAAGAGCAGCUUGCAACUAAGUACAGUAAAAUGCAUGACAUUUGGAUGUCAUCCAAAUUUCAAAGAUUUGGCUAGUGUGGUCCACAUGAUGAUCCUGUUUUGCUGGGAAAUAUUCCUGCCUUUGAGGAGAUAUUAACACGGGUGGCUCAUAGUAGAGACGUAUUAGGCUUGAAACACAAUACCCUAUUUCCUCCUGUCAGAUACAAUUCAGAAGGUACUCUGAAUCAGCCAAGGAGGAAGUGAAAGUUGAGCCACAGGAGUCUCUACCAUCAUGCCAGUUCAAGACAGAAUCCAGCAGGCAGGCAUUUGCAGACCUGGCAGAUCGAGCUCAGGGAGAGCCCAGGGUGAACAUCAGUGAGAAAGCUCAGCCUCUGCCACAGCCUUCCCCUCCAUCUAACCAGUGUGCUCACAUACCUGGUACUGAUAAAAACAGUUUCACCUAGGUGCUCAAGAGAGCCUGAUGCGUCAGAUACCGCCAACGUUGCCUUGUACCUCUCCUGACACACCCUUUCCGGAACUCUUGUCCAUCCUCAGGAAAGAGAAUGUGAUGAAUUUCAAUGGGAUGACAAUUGGAUUUGCAAAGUGGGGACUACAAACACCAAGCAAUGGAUCAAUCGAGGACUGUAUCAAACACAGUGCACACGCAUAAACGCUGCUAUAUUAAAACCUAACUGUUGAUCUACAUCUUUGAAUUGCCCUUCCUGACGAGCAUCUCACAAGAAAUGAGAAGUUUUGGGGCUCUAUUCUGCUCUCCUGCGAUUUCACAUUGUUCUGCACUUUCUGGUUUUCUCUGAUGUGAAGAAACCUGCAAAUUUCUUAUCUCCUGUGAGAGCGAUUCCACUAAAUCUUUCAAGCCUCUUGGCUUCUGCUGAAUUUUGCCUCUCUGGGUUACCAGUUAAAAUUGAGGGAGGUGGCUGGGCACUGGUGCGGCAACCUUUAAUCCCAGUACUUGGGAGGAAGAGGCAGGUGGAUAUCCGAGUUCGAAACCCUCCUGGUUUACAAGAUCUAGUUCCAGGACAGCCUCAAAGCCAGAGAAAUCCAGUCUUGAAAAUGCUUAGAAAAAAAAAAAAAAAAAAAAGAGGGAGGUGAAGAUACUGAGUAACGCUUCACACUCAUCCCAAUCUCUGUGCCCUCUAUAUUCUUUUUCAUCCAGGUGCUCCUAAGCAAUAGCAGAGGUCUCUGGUCUAUAUUAAAGUGCUAACCAGUUCAGGGCCAGAUAUUUCCUGCUGUGCUGUGUCUACGGGAAGUCUCAGCUUAAGUUUCCCCAGUCACGGAGCAGCUCAGAUACACAUACAUACAUUGGUGUCUUCUGUGAGGGAAGCAGCCUUUCAAAACUUUUAAACUCUAAAAUCUCCUAACUUGCUUCUGCUUUACUUCCCCUCUCAUGGCUAUUAAAAUGUACCUAAGCAAAAUAUACAAUUACCUGUCUAGUAAUUUUCUGUCUCAUAUCUCUAACUUAUAGUUACACAUUUUUAUUCUUUUCAGUGCCACUCACUUGUCUAUCAUGGGGCUAAUAUUCUUGGUCAUCACCCUUUAUAACCAACCAAGUGCAUUUCAAUGAAAACACAUUUAUACACAAUAUUUGGGAAAGGGGGCGUCGUUCUCUCCAAACUUCUUCCUGCUGUUAGGGGACGCUGAAAUACCAUGGGGAUCCUAAGAAAACCCAGAAAUCCUGGCUAGGUUGGUCUGUGAGGCUGCCUUGUCCCAGCUGUCUUAGAUGCUGGAUCACCUGGGAACUGCUUUGAGGGGUCUUGCUUCAUGAAAUCACUAGUGUGGAAAGAACCCACAGCUUUUCACUUUCUGUGGAAACAAAAGCAGAAAGUCUUUUCCCAAGGAAACGAUCCUGCUACUUAAAUUAUGAAGUCAAAGUAGUUUUGAAAUGUAUGAGUUAACUCAGCAGCCUUUAAAAUCAAGCAUAAUUUUUUGGCAAAUAAUUCAAAGAGAGCACAAUAGCAUACAGUAUGUGGACUCUGUAUUUUCCUUUUUUAUUAUCCUAUUUGAUUUUUACUUCUCAUUUUCUAUUCUAGUUUUUUUUUAAAAUUUUCAUUUUCUUUUUGAGACAGUACUUCUCUAUUUCCAAUCCAAGUCUCAGGAGUUGAGGCCUCCUUACUCUACCUUUACGAAUCGACCCUCAUAAACCUUGCU